rnacentral:rRNA from 1 species
CCUACGGGAGGCAGCAGUGGGGAAUAUUGCACAAUGGGGGAAACCCUGAUGCAGCGACGCCGCGUGAGUGAAGAAGUAUUUCGGUAUGUACAGCUCUAUCAGCAGGGAAGAAAAUGACGGUACCUGAUUAAGAAGCCCCGGCUAACUACGUGCCAGCAGCCGCGUUAAUACGUAGGGGGCAAGCGUUAUCCGGAUUUACUGGGUGUAAAGGGAGCGUAGACGGCAGCACAAGUCUGGAGUGAAAUGCCGGGGCUUAACCCCGGAACUGCUUUUGAAACUGGGCAGCUAGAGUGCAGGAGGGGUAAGUGGAAGUCCUAGUGUAGCGGUGGAAUGCGUAGAUAUUAGGAGGAACACCAGUGGCGAGGGCGGCUUACUGGACUGAAACUGACGCUGAGGCUCGAAAGCGUGGGGAGCGAACAGGAUUAGAUACCCGUGUAGUC